rnacentral:rRNA from 1 species
AAAUUGAAGAGUUUGAUCAUGGCUCAGAUUGAACGCUGGCGGCAGGCCUAACACAUGCAAGUCGAACGGUAACAGGAAGCAGCUUGCUGCUUUGCUGACGAGUGGCGGACGGGUGAGUAAUGUCUGGGAAACUGCCUGAUGGAGGGGGAUAACUACUGGAAACGGUAGCUAAUACCGCAUAACGUCGCAAGACCAAAGAGGGGGACCUUCGGGCCUCUUGCCAUCGGAUGUGCCCAGAUGGGAUUAGCUAGUAGGUGGGGUAAAGGCUCACCUAGGCGACGAUCCCUAGCUGGUCUGAGAGGAUGACCAGCCACACUGGAACUGAGACACGGUCCAGACUCCUACGGGAGGCAGCAGUGGGGAAUAUUGCACAAUGGGCGCAAGCCUGAUGCAGCCAUGCCGCGUGUAUGAAGAAGGCCUUCGGGUUGUAAAGUACUUUCAGCGGGGAGGAAGGGAGUAAAGUUAAUACCUUUGCUCAUUGACGUUACCCGCAGAAGAAGCACCGGCUAACUCCGUGCCAGCAGCCGCGGUAAUACGGAGGGUGCAAGCGUUAAUCGGAAUUACUGGGCGUAAAGCGCACGCAGGCGGUUUGUUAAGUCAGAUGUGAAAUCCCCAGGCUCAACCUGGGAACUGCAUCUGAUACUGGCAAGCUUGAGUCUCGUAGAGGGGGGUAGAAUUCCAGGUGUAGCGGUGAAAUGCGUAGAGAUCUGGAGGAAUACCGGUGGCGAAGGCGGCCCCCUGGACGAAGACUGACGCUCAGGUGCGAAAGCGUGGGGAGCAAACAGGAUUAGAUACCCUGGUAGUCCACGCCGUAAACGAUGUCGACUUGGAGGUUGUGCCCUUGAGGCGUGGCUUCCGGAGCUAACGCGUUAAGUCGACCGCCUGGGGAGUACGGCCGCAAGGUUAAAACUCAAAUGAAUUGACGGGGGCCCGCACAAGCGGUGGAGCAUGUGGUUUAAUUCGAUGCAACGCGAAGAACCUUACCUGGUCUUGACAUCCACGGAAGUUUUCAGAGAUGAGAAUGUGCCUUCGGGAACCGUGAGACAGGUGCUGCAUGGCUGUCGUCAGCUCGUGUUGUGAAAUGUUGGGUUAAGUCCCGCAACGAGCGCAACCCUUAUCCUUUGUUGCCAGCGGUCCGGCCGGGAACUCAAAGGAGACUGCCAGUGAUAAACUGGAGGAAGGUGGGGAUGACGUCAAGUCAUCAUGGCCCUUACGACCAGGGCUACACACGUGCUACAAUGGCGCAUACAAAGAGAAGCGACCUCGCGAGAGCAAGCGGACCUCAUAAAGUGCGUCGUAGUCCGGAUUGGAGUCUGCAACUCGACUCCAUGAAGUCGGAAUCGCUAGUAAUCGUGGAUCAGAAUGCCACGGUGAAUACGUUCCCGGGCCUUGUACACACCGCCCGUCACACCAUGGGAGUGGGUUGCAAAAGAAGUAGGUAGCUUAACCUUCGGGAGGGCGCUUACCACUUUGUGAUUCAUGACUGGGGUGAAGUCGUAACAAGGUAACCGUAGGGGAACCUGCGGUUGGAUCACCUCCUUA